ACUCAAAGGAAUAGACGGGGGCCCGCACAAGCGGUGGAGUAUGCGGUUUAAUUCGAGGCAACGCGAAGAACCUUACCCGGGCUUGACAUCACCGAAAGGAUCCAUGCUUACUGGAAACAGUAAGAUUAGGAAGACAGGUGUUGCAUGGCUGUCGUCAGCUCGUGUCGUGAGAUGUUGGGUUAAGUCCCGCAACGAGCGCAACCCUUAUCGCCAGUUACCAUCGGUCCGGCCGGGGACUCUGGCGAAACUGCCGCCGACAAGGUGGAGGAAGGUGGGGAUGACGUCAAGUCAGCAUGGCCCUUACGUCCGGGGCUACACGCGUACUACAAUGGUCGGUACAGUGGGGAGCAAGACCGCAAGGUGGAGCGAAUCCUCAAAACCGACCUCAGUUCAGAUUGGGGUCUGCAACCCGACCCCAUGAAGGCGGAAUCGCUAGUAAUCGUAGAUCAGCAUGCUACGGUGAAUACGUUCCCGGGCCUUGUACACACCGCCCGU
rnacentral:rRNA from 1 species